rnacentral:lncRNA from 13 species
CACAAACAUCACUCUCUCCCUCUCCCUCGCUCUCCUUCUCUCUCCCCACCUCUCUCUCUCCAUCUCUCUCCCUCUCUCUGAUUGCAGUUCUCUCCCGUGGAGACAAAACGAGGGCUGAUUGCCAGGGGCGCUGAAUAGAAGGAAGACCCAUUUACGCAGCGCAAACAGCAUCUAUAAUGGAUGUGGAAGGGAAGGGGAGAGAGAGAGAGAAAACGUCUUCAGAGCCAAGUGGAGCUGUGCUGUGGGACUCCAGGGCUGCAGCAGUGGGACAGGGAGAGAGAGAGCCCAGCCCUGCGGGAGCCCUUCUCAGCCUGUCAUUAGUCUCCACAUGACAGGCAGCAUCCAGCAGCAGAAACCAUCCACCCGCCCAGCAUGGAGAAGACACACGCAGGCAGCCCCGUCUGGGAGAGACCGGAGCAGACGCACACACACAGACAGGAACACACACACAGACAGGAACACACACAGGCAGAUGAGAAGACGGCAUAUGGCUGUGCCCUCAAGGGGGAACACGGGAAACUGUGACAUCAGUUGAUUGGCGGGCGGGUGGUUGGCUUGGUAGAGCACAGCUCUGUGUGAGUGAAGUCCAUAGGACUACUGUGUGCUAACUUUAAAUGUAUCAAACUGUACACCCACUAUGGCUGAUGGCUCAUAUAAUACUGUGAUGUGGGUCCGGUGACAAUAAUACAUCCCAAAUAAGAAAUGUGUCAAGACCAUUAAAUGCUAUUAGAUGUGUGUGUGAUUGGUAUAUAAUGUUUGUACCCUGUUGAGCUGCUACCAUGUUGUACUGCUGCCAUGUUGUGUUGCUACCGUGUUGUUGUCAUGUUGUGUUGCUACCAUGUUGUGUUGUCAUGUGUUGCUGCCAUGCUGCGUUGCUGUCUUAGGUCUCUCUUUAUGUAGUGUCUCUCUGGUCGUGAUGUGUAUUUUGUCCUGCAUUUUAUUUUUAAUCCCAGCCCCCGUCCCCCCAGGAGGCCUUUUGCCUCUUGGUAGGCCGUCAUUGUAAAUAAGAAUUUGUUCUCAACUGACUUGCCUAGUUAAAAAAAUAUAUAUAUCUCUGUACACUUUUCAAAAUGUGCCUGUGUUAUAUUUCAAACAUAAUCAUGCAGGGAAUGUACAGUAGAGGGUUGUCCUCAAGUAAGAGGGUUGUCCUCAAGGGAUUUGGGGAUUACACUAACUGUCGGAAAAAUCCCUAAAUCUCUACAAGGAUUAUCAAUUGGUCAAUGGAGCUCUUGCUAAAAGUCCCUGGAUGAGAUAAAACUACAGGACUGGGGAGCACUGUAAAACACAUGCUAGCUUACCUUUCACUCUGUCAGUUAGACAUUUGGAGAGAAAAAAAUACUCAAUUACAUUUGGUCACCGGCAGGCAGAUACAUUUUGCUUUGAUAGUGUAAGGGGUGCGUAAUCGGUGGCAGGGAAGUCAGACGCAGGGGAGCAGAACUUGGUAAUAGCCGGAGCAGUUUAAUAGCAAAACCCACAGCAUAAAAAUAACAAGAAUAAUAAUUGGGUACAAAAACACGUUGCGCACCAAACAACAUGUGCACAAGCACUUACAAUAAACAAUCCCACACAAAGACAUGGGGGGAACGGAGGCUUAAAUACACAACAAUUGAGGGAAUUGAGGGAAUUGAAACCAGGUGUGAGGAAAAACAAGACAAAACACAUGGAAAAUGAAAAGUGGAUCGAUGAAGGCUAGAAGACCGGCGACGCCGAGCGCCACCCGAACAAGGAGAGGACCCAACUUCAGCGGAAGUUGUAACAGGUCCCCCCCCCCCUUGACGCGCGGCUCCAGCAGCCGAUGCUGGCCUCGGGGACGACCCGGAGGGCGAGGCGCAGGGAGAUCCGGAUGGAGACAGUGAAACUCCAGCAGUAUUGAAGGGUCCAACACAUCCUCCACCGGAACCCAGCACCAGUACUCCACGAGGUACUGAAGGCCCCUCGCCUGACGCCUCAAAUCCAGGAUAGAGCGAACGGAGUAUACCGGGGCCCCCUCGAUGUCCAGAGGGGGCGGAGGAACCUCCUGCCCCUCAGACUCCUGGAGCGGACCAACCACCACCGGCCUGAGGAGAGACACAUGGAAUGAGGGGUUAAUACGGUAAUUA